rnacentral:tRNA from 1 species
GGCGGUGUAGCUCAGGCGGUAGAGCAAACGACUCAUAAUCGUUGUGUCGCCGGUUCGAGUCCGGCCAUCGCUACCCAUA